rnacentral:lncRNA from 1 species
CCCUGCCAAGAGCUCUUCAUGUGUGACCUCAUGUCCACCUCUCUCCCUGGGAGCCAACGGCUCUUGAGGACACUUGGUUAUGGCGUCCCCCCUGGAACACUGGGCCUCAAGCAGCACAACUAACGCUCAUGGGACACUCACCGUGUGCCAAGCCCUUGCAUGCACUUCACCUCGUUGAAUCCGUACAGCCGUAUUUUGGGGAUCUUCAAGUGACCUUGAAAUGGCUGUGGCUGCUCCUUUAGAGGACUCCAUCCUGACCCUCUUCUAGCCAUGCCUCUCCCUGUGGGGAAGGAGUCUACAGGGCCAAGGAGACGUGACUCUGUGAAGCCCAUGGCUCCCUUCUAAAACAUUCUCUGGAUAUUCUCUGCAGUCUUGAACUCCUGGGCUCAAGUGAUCUUCCCGCCUCAGCCUCUGGAGUAGCUAGGACUACAGCAUCCAGUUCCCAGAACUCCCUGGAGAAUUCUCAGACCUCAAACAAUGAAGUGUCUCAUUCGGAGUAAAAGGAAGAGCACAGG